UGCAGUCAAAAAAACGUAGGUUUUCAACGUUGGCUUUGCCAACGGCCCCACAAGGGGUGAACAAGCGAACGAGUGAGCUUGUGAAUAAAAAAC
rnacentral:ncRNA from 1 species